GGCUCAUUAAAUCAGUUAUCGUUUAUUUGAUAGUACCUUACUACAUGGAUAACCGUGGUAAUUCUAGAGCUAAUACAUGCUAAAAACCCCGACUUCGGGAGGGGUGUAUUUAUUAGAUAAAAAACCAACGCCCUUCGGGGCUUCUUGGUGAUUCAUAAUAACUUAACGAAUCGCAUGGCCUUGCGCCGGCGAUGGUUCAUUCAAAUUUCUGCCCUAUCAACUUUCGAUGGUAGGAUAGUGGCCUACCAUGGUAUCAACGGGUAACGGGGAAUUAGGGUUCUAUUCCGGAGAGGGAGCCUGAGAAACGGCUACCACAUCCAAGGAAGGCAGCAGGCGCGCAAAUUACCCAAUCCCGACGCGGGGAGGUAGUGACAAUAAAUACUGAUACAGGGCUCUUUUGGGUCUUGUAAUUGGAAUGAGUACAAUUUAAAUCCCUUAACGAGGAACAAUUGGAGGGCAAGUCUGGUGCCAGCAGCCGCGGUAAUUCCAGCUCCAAUAGCGUAUAUUAAAGUUGUUGCAGUUAAAAAGCUCGUAGUUGAACCUUGGGCCUGGCUGGCCGGUCCGCCUCACCGCGUGCACUGGUCCGGCCGGGCCUUUCCUUCUGGGGAGCCGCAUGCCCUUCACUGGGUGUGUCGGGGAACCAGGACUUUUACUUUGAAAAAAUUAGAGUGUUCAAAGCAGGCCUUUGCUCGAAUACAUUAGCAUGGAAUAAUAGAAUAGGACGUGCGGUCCUAUUUUGUUGGUUUCUAGGACCGCCGUAAUGAUUAAUAGGGAUAGUCGGGGGCAUCAGUAUUCAAUUGUCAGAGGUGAAAUUCUUGGAUUUAUUGAAGACUAACUACUGCGAAAGCAUUUGCCAAGGAUGUUUUCAUUAAUCAGUGAACGAAAGUUAGGGGAUCGAAGACGAUCAGAUACCGUCGUAGUCUUAACCGUAAACUAUGCCGACUAGGGAUCGGGCGAUGUUAUCAUUUUGACUCGCUCGGCACCUUACGAGAAAUCAAAGUCUUUGGGUCU
rnacentral:rRNA from 1 species